rnacentral:rRNA from 1 species
GAAGGACGCGACAAGCUGCGAAAAGCUGCGGCGAGGGGCAAAUGCCCUGUGACCCGCAGAUGUCCGAAUGGGGAAACCCGGCGGGAGCGAUCCCGUCACCACACUCAUUAAAGAGGUGGGGCGAACGCGGGGAACUGAAACAUCUCAGUACCCGCAGGAAGAGAAAAUAAUAAUGAUUGCGCAAGUAGUGGCGAGCGAACGCGCAAGAGCCCAAACCGUGGAGGUCGCAAGGCUUCACACGGGGUUGUAGGACCGGCGACGGUGUUGAAUGACACUUGUAGCAGAACAUGUUGGAAAGCAUGACCAUAGCGGGUGAUAGUCCCGUACGCGAAACAAGGGUUAUUCGAUCAGCCGGCACCUGAGUACCGCGGAACACGUGAAAUUCUGUGGGAAUCAGCGGGGCCCAUCCCGCAAGGCUAAAUACUACCGAGAGACCGAUAGCGCACAAGUACCGUGAGGGAAAGGUGAAAAGAACCUCGAGCAGAGGAGUGAAACAGACCCUGAAACCGUGCGCCUACAAGCGGUCGGAGCCACCUUGAGUGGUGACGGCGUGCCUUUUGCGUGCCUUUUGCAUAAUGAACCUACGAGUUGCCGUCGCCGGCGAGGUUAAGUGGCAGCAGCCACGGAGCCGCAGCGAAAGCGAGUCCGAACAGGGCGUGAAGAUAGUCGGCGGAGGCAGACGCGAAACCAAGUGAUCUACCCUUGGCCAGGAUGAAGGACGGGUGACUCCGUCUGGAGGUCCGCACCGGCAAGCGUUGAAAAGCUUUCGGAUGAGCUGAGGGUAGGAGUGAAAGGCCAAUCAAACUUGGAGAUAGCUCGUACUCCCCGAAAUGUAUUUAGGUGCAGCCUCGGGACAGGUUAGCGGAGGUAGAGCGACCGAUAGGAUGCGAGGGCUUCACCGCCUAUCAAGUCCUGCCGAACUCCGAAUGCCGCUGAACCGAUUCCCGGGAGUAAGGGCGUGGGUGCUAAGGUCCACGUCCGAGAGAGGAACAACUCAGACCACCGUCUAAGGCCCCGAAAUCCGGGCUAAGUUGAAGACAAUAACGAAGUGCGGCCGCAGAGACAGCCAGGAUGUUGGCUUGGAAGCAGCCAUUCAUUUAAAGAGUGCGUAACAGCUCACCGGUCGAGCGGCCGCGCAUGGAUAAUAAUCGGGCAUAAGUCCGGUGCCGAAGACGUGGAAUGACGCAUAAAUGCGUCAUUGGUAGGGGAGCAUUCCAGUAUAGCGUUGAAGGUGUGCCUUGAGGCAUGUUGGAGCCACUGGAAAAGCAAAUGUAGGUAUAAGUAACGAUAAAGGAGGUGCGAACCCUCCUCGCCGUAAGACCAAGGUUUCCUGAUCAACGCCAGUCGGAUCAGGGUCAGCCGGGACCUAAGCCGCAACCCGCGAGGGGAAGGCGAUGGAAGAGGCGGUUAAUAUUCCGCCGCUGCGUACAGCUGCGAUGGAGAGACGUGGAAGUGACACGCCCGCGGACAGACGGAAUUGUCCGUUUAAGGGGAGUAGGUUAUGAGGGAGAUAGGCAAAUCCGUCUUCCGAGCCGAACCCUGAAAGUAUGGAGCGUCUUCGGACAAUCCAAUAGAGGCGGUAAGCCUGCCACCGAGAAAAUCUUCUAAGCAUCAGGUUGUAUGCACCCGUACCGUAAACCGACACAGGUGGUCGGGUAGAGUAUACCAAGGCGCUCGAGAGAUUCAUGGUUAAGGAACUAGGCAAAUUGACCCCGUAACUUCGGGAUAAGGGGUCCCCCUGAUUAGCUUCAGGGGGCGCAGAGAAUCGGUCCAGGCAACUGUUUAACAAAAACACAGGGCUGUGCUAAGCUGCAAGGCGAUGUAUACAGUCUGACACCUGCCCGGUGCCGGAAGGUUAAGAGGAGGCGUCAACCCUUUUGGGGGGCCGUAACUAUAACGGUCCUAAGGUAGCGAAAUUCCUUGUCGGGUAAGUUCCGACCUGCACGAAUGGUGUAAUGAUCUGGACGCUGUCUCAACCAUGAGCUCGGUGAAAUUGUAGUAUCGGUGAAGAUGCCGAUUACCCGCAACGGGACGAAAAGACCCCGUGAACCUUUACUGUAGCUUAGCAUUGUGACCGGGUGCGUGAUGUGUAGGAUAGCCAGGAGGCUAUGAGACGGGUGCGCCAGCACUCGUGGAGCCGUUGUUGAAAUACUGGCCUUUGCGCAUCUGGUUUCUAACGCGCGAGUUGCGCGGACAUUGCUUGGCGGGCAGUUUGACUGGGGUGGUCGCCUCCAAAAGAGUAACGGAGGCUUCUAAAGGUACCCUCAGGCCGAUUGGUAACCGGCCGCAGAGUGUAAUGGCACAAGGGUGCUUGACUGGGAGACUGACAAGUCGUCCAGGUAGGAAACUAGAGCAUAGUGAUCCGGUGGUUCCGCAUGGAAGGGCCAUCGCUCAAAGGAUAAAAGGUACUCCGGGGAUAACAGGCUGAUCCCUCCCAAGAGCUCAAAUCGACGGAGUGGUUUGGCACCUCGAUGUCGGCUCGUCACAUCCUGGGGCUGGAGAAGGUCCCAAGGGUUGGGCUGUUCGCCCAUUAAAGUGGCACGCGAGCUGGGUU